UUUUGGUGAGGUGCCUUCCGAGUUCCCUGGAACGGGACGCCAUAGAGGGUGAGAGCCCCGUCUGGUUGGACACCGAUCCUCUGUAAAGCUCCUUCGACGAGUCGAGUAGUUUGGGAAUGCUGCUCUAAAUGGGAGGUAUAUGUCUUCUAAAGCUAAAUACCGGCCAGAGACCGAUAGCGCACAAGUAGAGUGAUCGAAAGAUGAAAAGAACUUUGAAAAGAGAGUUAAACAGUACGUGAAAUUGUUGAAAGGGAAGCGCUUGUGACCAGACUUGGGCUUGGUUGAUCAUCCGGGGUUCUCCCCGGUGCACUCUUCCGGCUCAGGCCAGCAUCAGUUCGCCCUGGGGGAUAAAGGCUUCGGGAAUGUGGCUCUCUCCGGGGAGUGUUAUAGCCCGCUGCGUAAUACCCUGUGGCGGACUG
rnacentral:rRNA from 1 species